rnacentral:rRNA from 1 species
AACCGGAUUAGAUACCCUGGUAGUCCACGCUGUAAACGAUGAAGACUAGAUGUUGGGCAGCUUAGACUGUUCAGUAUCGAAGCUAACGCGAUAAGUCUUCCGCCUGGGGAGUACGGCCGCAAGAUUAAAACUCAAAGAAAUUGACGGGGGCCCGCACAAGCGGUGGAGCAUGUGGUUUAAUUCGAUGCAACGCGAAGAACCUUACCUACCCUUGACAUCCAAAGAAUUUUGCAGAGAUGUGAAAGUGCCGAAAGGAACUUUGAGACAGGUGCUGCAUGGCUGUCGUCAGCUCGUGUUGUGAGAUGUUGGGUUAAGUCCCGUAACGAGCGCAACCCUUAUCCUUAGUUGCCAGCAUUUAGUUGGGGACUCUAAGGAGACUGCCGGUGAUGAACCGGAGGAAGGCGGGGACGACGUCAAGUCAUCAUGGCCUUUAUGGGUAGGGCUACACACGUGCUACAAUGGGCGGUACAGAGGGCAGCGAAAGCGCGAGCUGGAGCCAAUCCCGAAAAGCCGUUCAUAGUCCGGAUCGGAGUCUGCAACUCGACUCCGUGAAGUCGGAAUCGCUAGUAAUCGCGAAUCAGAAUGUCGCGGUGAAUACGUUCCCGGGCCUUGUACACACCGCCCGUCACACCAUGGGAGUGGGUUGUACCAGAAGUAGGUAGUUUAACCGCAAGGGGAACGCUUACCACGGUAUGGUUCAUGACUGGGGUGAAGUCGUAACAAGGUAACCGUA